UGGGCGAAAGCCUGAUCCAGCAAUGCCACGUGAGUGAUGAAGGCCUUAGGGUUGUAAAGCUCUUUUACCCGGGAUGAUAAUGACAAUACCGGGAGAAUAAGCCCCGGCUAACUCCGUG
rnacentral:rRNA from 1 species